UGGAAGCGGAAGUGUUUGGUUCGAGUUACUUUGUAGCAGUUGGAUUCGGGUCUCGGUUCAGAGACUUUGGGUCACGGUUCACGCCAGUGGGUUCGGUUCGGUCAACAUAAGUCAGCAGCGGUUAGGUUCAUGGUUCGGGUUGACUCGGUCAAACCGAGUCAACUCGGGCAAACCUGGUCAACUCAGUUCAGUUUUGGUCAACGCCCGGUCAACUCAGGACCCGGAAUGUCAUAGGUGCACGCUAACUAAUUCACGUUUCUGGAACGACACUACGGAAUCACACUUUAAGCUAGCUUUGCACAGGAAUAUCCAGGUGAGUUCAUAACCC
rnacentral:lncRNA from 1 species